rnacentral:rRNA from 1 species
UAGGGAAUCUUCGGCAAUGGACGGAAGUCUGACCGAGCAACGCCGCGUGAGUGAAGAAGGUUUUCGGAUCGUAAAGCUCUGUUGUAAGAGAAGAACGAGUGUGAGAGUGGAAAGUUCACACUGUGACGGUAUCUUACCAGAAAGGGACGGCUAACUACGUGCCAGCAGCCGCGGUAAUACGUAGGUCCCGAGCGUUGUCCGGAUUUAUUGGGCGUAAAGCGAGCGCAGGCGGUUAGAUAAGUCUGAAGUUAAAGGCUGUGGCUUAACCAUAGUACGCUUUGGAAACUGUUUAACUUGAGUGCAAGAGGGGAGAGUGGAAUUCCAUGUGUAGCAGUGAAAUGCGUAGAUAUAUGGAGGAACACCGGUGGCGAAAGCGGCUCUCUGGCUUGUAACUGACGCUGAGGCUCGAAAGCGUGGGGAGCAAACAGG